UUUGCUUCUUGAUCUUUUGGCCAAGGUCCAGUGUAGUAUCUGUUCUAACCAUUUAAUAUUGAUACAUCCUCUAUUUGAGGACAAUAUAUUAAAUGGACUUUUGGAGCACAGAGAUUAGGAGCUGCUCUGUCCUCUCCAGGCACAGACCUGGUGUUGCAGUAUCUUCAGAAAUGGUGCACGCCUU
rnacentral:snRNA from 1 species